rnacentral:sRNA from 1 species
UUCCGUCGCGGGGGCCCGAUUUAAAGCGGUCACGAAAACAGGAGACUCGGCACCUCGAAGAACCUCUCGCAGUGAAAUAAAAGAUGUGUUUGCUUGAAAACUAUUUUUAUGUAACUACAAAAAUCAUCGAAAUAUACGUGUCUCGUCAAGUGACGAGUUUUAAAAUUUUAAUAAUACUAUGAAUGAACAUUAUAUAAUGUAUGAACAUUAAUAAUCGAAACUUUGGAAACACUUAACGUUACUCUAUUUUCAAAGAUUUGAUGAAUCCAAUUAAUACGAAGAGCCAAAUUUUUCUCUUUAAUUAAAAUAAAAAUAUAUAGAACAGAAAAAUUCAAAUUGUCAAAUUAAAAAACCAUUCACAUAGAAAACCAUUCCAUUCUACUUUAAGUUAUUGCAAUAUAAGUGACAACACAAUAACAUUUACGAUAUACGUUUUCAUCUUCGAAAACUACCUUUUACCCUCUUAUUUAGAUUUAUUGGAAAGGUAAAAAA